rnacentral:tRNA from 1 species
CGGGGUGUGGCCUAGUGGUUAAGGCGCACGUCUAGGGGACGUGAGAUCGCUGGUUCGAAUCCAGUCACCCCGACCA